UAGCAGUGUAGUAUCAGUGGAUGUUGAGUGAGUGAGAGUACUAUUGCGGGUCGGGGAGGGUUAGAGAACCACAGGCACAAGGUCGUAGCAUCUUGUCCAAUCUGAGGGGUGUAGUUUAAAUAAAUGUACGGUAUAGGUUUGUAUUGAUUGAUUUUUUUUUUUUUGCGUAGUUUCAGCUGGCAUUUCGUACCUGCGUAUUUUGAUUAAGAAUUGCGUGGUUGGUACACAAAAUGCGUGCAGGUUGGCAGGUCUGCAAUCACUGUAAUAACGUGUUCGAGCAGGGCAAAGUGUUUGCGUGUGUGUGUGGGGACCUUCUCUCCUUUCAUCAUCAGAGUAAACAGCGAUGGGUUGGACCAGUCUUCAAGGCGGAAGGGCCUGUCCCUUGGACUGGCCACAUCACCUGAGAAUCU
ensembl:lncRNA